rnacentral:lncRNA from 1 species
UGGACCUAUGACAUAAGACAAUGAGACUCCUGUUCGGAGGCAGAGACAAUAGGUGUACUGUUGCCAUGGAGAUAAGCAGAGGAUGCGGAGGAAAGGCAGAUAGUGAUCUGAAUUUAAACAACAAAGUUAAGGAAGAGGUCAUAAAAUGUGUUACUUGCAGUUUGAUGCUAUUGAUUGCUACACUACAAUAGCUACUAGCUUGCCUGCAAUGCUCCAAAACUCCAAGGGGAAGAAAGGAUUCUCUUAAGAUCCAUGCAACUGGG